GCUGGGUACAUAAAAUGAUGGUCGCAGAAAAAAAAGAAGAAACUAAAGUCAUUGUUUUAUGUACUUAUG
rnacentral:sRNA from 1 species